rnacentral:rRNA from 1 species
UACGGAGGGUGCGAGCGUUGUUCGGAAUCAUUGGGCGUAAAGCGCGUGUAGGCGGCUUGGCAAGUCGGGUGUGAAAUCCCGGGGCCCAACCCCGGAACUGCAUUCGAAACUGCCUCGCUAGAGUCCCGGAGAGGAAGGCGGAAUUCCCGGUGUAGAGGUGAAAUUCGUAGAUAUCGGGAGGAACAGCAGCGGCGAAGGCGGCCUUCUGGACGGUGACUGACGCUGAGACGCGAAAGCGUGGGGAGCAAACAGG